rnacentral:rRNA from 1 species
AGUGAAGCGGCAAAAGCUCAAAUUUGAAACCCUCGGGAUUGUAAUUUGAAGAUUUGGCAUUGGAGAAAGCUAACCCAAGUUGCUUGGAAUAGUACGUCAUAGAGGGUGACAACCCCGUCUGGCUAACCGUUCUCCAUGUAUUGCCUUAUCAAAGAGUCGAGUUGUUUGGGAAUGCAGCUCAAAGUGGGUGGUAAACUCCAUCUAAAGCUAAAUACUGGUGAGAGACCGAUAGCGAACAAGUACUGUGAAGGAAAGGUGAAAAGAACUUUGAAAAGAGAGUGAAAUAGUAUGUGAAAUUGU